AAAUCGUAGACUCUGUGUGUGUUCCAAUCAGGUGGCCUCGUCGUCAGCACAGCACUCAAGUAGGAAGGAGAAGUCUUCUCUCUCAGAUAAAUAUUGUUUUGCUGCUGCUGGCUCUUUCUCUCUCUCUCUCUAUCGUCUCGUGAGAUGCGUCGCUCAUCAUCCAAGAAGAAAUCAGCUGAAUCAGUCGCCACGGAUCUCUUUCGCUCAGCUUCGAGCAAGGCCUCGACUAAAGAGAUGGAUCGUAUUGAUCAGUUAUUCAAUCAGUAUGCCAAUCGAUCUUCCAAUCUCAUUGACCCUGAAGGAAUUGAGCAACUCUGCUCCAAUUUGGAUGUCUCCCAUACCGAUAUCAGAAUCUUGAUGCUUGCUUGGAAAAUGAAAGCUGAGAAACAAGGUUACUUCACUAAUGAGGAGUGGAGAAGAGGCCUCAAGGCUUUAAGAGCUGAUACUCUCAAUAAGUUGAAGAAAGCCCUUCCCGAGCUUGAGAAAGAGGUCAGGAGGCCUACCAAUUUUGCAGAUUUCUAUGCUUAUGCCUUCAAUUAUUGUCUAACAGAGGAAAAACAGAAGAGUAUUGACAUAGAGACUAUCUGCCAACUCCUAGAAAUUGUUAUGGGAUCUACUUUUCGAGCCCAAGUUGACUACUUUGUCGAGUAUCUUAAGAUCCAAAACGACUACAAAGUCAUAAACAUGGACCAAUGGAUGGGCUUGUACCGGUUCUGUAACGAGAUAAGCUUCCCGGACAUGGGCAACUACAACCCAGAGCUUGCAUGGCCGUUGAUUCUUGACAAUUUUGUUGAGUGGAUUGCUGAAAAACAAGCCUGAAAUCCUUAUGUGUCCUCCCAAGUCUCAGCUUCAAAGCGUCUUUACUUGAGUAGGAUCAGUGGGGCUCAUCAAACAGCUUUUUCAGCACAUUUUUUACUUCACUUUUCAUCUUUCAAACAUUAAAAAAGACACAUUAUAUGAUUCUUGUUACAUGUGAUUAACUUUCAAUAGAGGGAACACAUUAUGUUUUGGUUCAUAAACA